GCCGCCGGCGCCUGAUUGGCCGGGCUCCGGACUUUUAAUCCGGACUGAGAGGGUUCGAUUCCCUUCGGCGGCA
rnacentral:tRNA from 1 species